GACGAACGCUGGCGGCGUGCCUAAUACAUGCAAGUAGAACGCACAGUUUAUACCGUAGCUUGCUACACCAUAGACUGUGAGUUGCGAACGGGUGAGUAACGCGUAGGUAACCUGCCUGGUAGCGGGGGAUAACUAUUGGAAACGAUAGCUAAUACCGCAUAAUAUUGAUUAUUGCAUGAUAAUUGAUUGAAAGAUGCUAUUGCAUCACUACCAGAUGGACCUGCGUUGUAUUAGCUAGUAGGUGAGGUAACGGCUCACCUAGGCGACGAUACAUAGCCGACCUGAGAGGGUGAUCGGCCACACUGGGACUGAGACACGGCCCAGACUCCUACGGGAGGCAGCAGUAGGGAAUCUUCGGCAAUGGACGAAAGUCUGACCGAGCAACGCCGCGUGAGUGGAGAAGGUUGUCGGAUCGUAAAGCUCUGUUGUAAGAGAAGAACGGGUGUGAGAGUGGAAAGUUCACACUGUGACGGUAUCUUACCAGAAAGGGACGGCUAACUACGUG
rnacentral:rRNA from 1 species